rnacentral:lncRNA from 13 species
GGAAUGAUGACCACGAAGGCCUCUUUUUGGAUAAGAGUAUUGUUUUUUUUUUCCUAUAAGCUCCUUCCUACAUUUUAUGGUUUCUCUCUAAUUGCAGUUAAGGGUCCCCAAAGACAGUUCUUCCUUGAAUUUCCAGAAGAUGAUGUCCACCCCUUCUCUCCUGUCCAGUCACAGCUCUGAAAGCCUUUGAGAGGUUUCCAUACAGGAGCAGAUGCAGAGCAGAGAGGAAAGAAAUAUUAUUUUGCAGCAACUGGUGCUCCAUCAAAACAGAGGCCUUGCGAAAUGACGGCAGACAUCAGUAAUCGCCACAGCGCUGGCCUUAUUUAUAGGAUCCCUGGAGCCAGAGGCAAGGAAAUCCACAGCACUGUCCCAUCCACAGGAUCCCUGGAGCCAGAGGCAAGGAAAUCCACAGCACUGUCCCAUCCCUUCUUUCAUCAGCUUAUCCUGAUUGGUGUAACCUCACAGGUGAUGUCAGAGUCCAGGCAGUCAGGGGAGCAGCAAGCAGAUGUUUUAGAAAGGAAGGAUCUUGUUUCGGGCUUCCUAUUACUGUCUUUCUUUAAUUAUAUAGGCAAAAGAAAGUCUUGGAAGUUUCUGUGUGAGUGAAAGGUGUGAUCAAAGUGGGAGUUUGAAAAGACAAUAAUAAAUAUUUGACUAUACUAUAUUGGAAGCA